UACGGCGGGGGCUAGCGUUGUUCGGAAUUACUGGGCGUAAAGCGCACGUAGGCGGCUUUGUAAGUUAGAGGUGAAAGCCCAGGGCUUAACCCUGGAAUUGCCUUUAAGACUGCAUCGCUAGAAUCGUGGAGAGGUGAGUGGAAUUCCGAGUGUAGAGGUGAAAUUCGUAGAUAUUCGGAAGAACACCAGUGGCGAAGGCGACUCACUGGACACGUAUUGACGCUGAGGUGCGAAAGCGUGGGGAGCAAACAGG
rnacentral:rRNA from 1 species